AACCUUAUGGACCUGCGGGCGUAUACCUGCGGAAGGAUCAUUACCGAGUUUACAACUCCCAAACCCCUGUGAACAUACCUUUAUGUUGCCUCGGCGGAUCAGCCCGCGCCCCGUAAAACGGGACGGCCCGCCGCAGGACCACAAAACUCUGAUUUUAGUGUAACUUCUGAGUCUAAAAAACAAAUAAAUCAAAACUUUUAACAACGGAUCU
rnacentral:misc_RNA from 1 species